GUGAAUCAUCGAAUUUUUGAACGCAAAUUGCACUCUCCUCGGAGAGUAUGCCUGUUUGAGUGCCAGCCUAUAAAAAAUCGACAUCGUUGCUGUUUUGCGGUGGCGAGCGUCUGAAAUUGGGUCAUCUUAACUUUCUUGGUUUUAAGCGACUUAAAAUUUUCUUUUUGGUUCCAUGAACGUUUCUAAGAUUUUUUUCUUUACACGUUUAAGGUAUCGAUUUUUAUUAUUGAUGACCAUCAUAUCGGAU
rnacentral:misc_RNA from 1 species